GCUGGGUGUGGUGGUACAUGCCUGUAAUCCCAGUGACUUGGGAGGCUAAGGCAGGAGAAUUGCGAGUUCAAAGCCAGCCUCUGCAAAAACGAGGCCCUAAGCAACUCAGUGAGACCCUGUCUCUA
rnacentral:sRNA from 1 species